CCUAUAGACUUCUUUCAAAUAUAAUGCUAUAGUAAGCUAAGUCAUGGUUUAAUUUUUUUUUUUUUUUUUUUUUUAAAAAUUUAUAAUAAUAAAAAAAAAAAAUAAAUAAUGAUAGUUUUAUAUACAAAUAGAAUACUGACAAAAUGGAUAAAAUCAAAUGGUAAUACUUACUUGUUUAAAAAGUCAGUUAAUAUAAAAAAAACACCAACAGGCUAUCAUAUACUAGAGGGAAAAUAUUAUAGUAGUAGCACAGUAACGAGUGAGAAAAUAAACAAAAAAAAUGAGGAUAUAAAAAAAAAUAAUAACAAUAACAUAGAUAAUGUUCUUGUUGAACAUUUAAAAAGGGAAUAUGACAUAAGUGUUGAAUCAGUUGAUUUAGUUAUAAAUAUGAGCGAUAAAAAACAAGCGCUGCAACAACCGCUGCAACAACCGCAAGAACAAUCGGAAGAGCAACAAAACAUUUAUACAAUGAGUACCAUGUUUAGUAUGUUUUUUAAGUGUGAAAAAAGUUUGUAUAAUGUAGUAAAUAAAUAUAUAAAAAGUAAUAAAAUAGAUUAUUAUUUGUACAAUUAUUUGUAUUUGAAAAAAAAUGGUAAACAUUUAACAGACAAAGAGGGGGUAAUAGUAACAAAUUACCUGGAGAUAAUGAAAGAUUCAGUAAAACAAGAAGAUAAUAAUGUACAUGUGAUAGAAGAGGAAAUAAAAAAUGUGUUAAUAUAUAUUAUGGCACUGUAUUACAAAAACAUCCGUGACUUUAACGUGAUCUCUCUUUUAACUGAAAAGCUAAUAAAUUUGUUUAAUAAACUAGAUGAAAAUUAUAAUAAUAAAAAACUUCUUUUUACAAUUUGCGAAAUAUAUAAUUAUGUAAAUGCUAUGAAUGAUGAAUUGUUUUGUGUUGUGUUUACUUUUUUGAAUAAUUAUUAUAAGAGGGGUAACAGUAGUGGUAGUAGCACCAAUGUACAAAUAGAAGAGAAUGAAAUUUUACUACUAUUAAAAACUUUAUAUAAUCAAAAAUAUAAAAACCAUCCCAUAGUUGAUACAAUUAUUGAAUAUGUAUUAAACAGUACUACUACAUUGAGUAAUGGGUUAGCAGUUGAAUCUUUUUAUUAUUUAACUUUGUUAUCUAGGGUUAAUCAUUCAUUGGCUACAAAAAUUAGUGCUAUGCUAUUUGAAGUAGUAGUGACAAACUCUCACGGAAUAAUACUAAAAGAGACAUUGAGCGGAAUGAAUAGCUGUGGUAUAAAUGAUAACAAAACAGAACAUACAUGUAAUUAUGAAAAAGAAAAUGUGACAACAACAGUAAGCAACGAUAUAUAUAAAAAUGUUCAAAGCGCAAAAGAGGACAACGAGAAAAAAGAGAAAAACAAUAACAUAAAUAAAAAAAUAAUAAUAAAUAAUAAUAAUUAUUAUAUGAACAAUGUUAAUAAUAUUUAUUUAAAAUCUGAGUUAUCAAUUAGUGACUGUACAAAAUUGAUAUAUUCUUAUUUUCUAUUAGGGGAUGACUAUAUAAACUGGUUUAUUAUUUAUAAAUUGCUUCUUACAUUAUGUGAGCAAUUAAAAAAUGAAAACUUAAUUAUGUUAAUAAAAGCAAACAACCAAACAGGUAAUAUAAAUGAAUUGUUAUGUAUUAUAAGAAAUUAUUUGAAACACAAAAGUCAUAAGUUUUAUGAAUUAUUAUCAGAAGAAAUAAAAAAAAUGUUAAAAAACGUAUAUUUAUUAUACAUGCAAGAAGAUAAAAAAAUAAAAGAUAGAAAAAUUAAUGAUAAAUUAUCUCUUAUUUUAAAAAAACUUCGAAUUCCACAUAUUAAAAAUGUAUACAAAGGUGGAAUCACAUUGGAUAUAUUAGAAAAAGAUAAAAGACUUGUAUGGUUAUGUCUUUCUUAUCAUCAUUAUUAUGUUAAAACGAUUAAUCUAACAAGUGAAAAAUUACUACAAAUCGAAAUAAUUAAAGCAAUGCAAUACAAAGUUGCUAAAAUACAUCAUUAUCAAUUUUCUAGAAUGAAAGCAAAAAGAACGAGAUUUGAAUAUGUACGUAUGUGUAGAUAUUAUUCAUUAAGGGAUAGAAGAAACUUUGACAGUGAAAUGGAAGGCUGGAAUUUACCAUAUAUUAAUUGGUAUCAUAAAAAAAAUAAAAAUGUACACAUAUCUAACUAUUUUUAUAAUUAUAUUCCAGUAUCAGAAGUGGAUUACUAAAAUGACUUCGGCGGCGGCUACUAUUUUGUUUCAUGCAUGUG
ensembl:lncRNA